GAUGAACGCUGGCGGCGUGCCUAAUACAUGCAAGUCGUACGGAAAGGCCCUUCGGGGUACUCGAGUGGCGGACGGCUGAGUAACGCGUGGGAACGUGCCCCAAAGUGAGGGAUAACGCACCGAAAGGUGUGCUAAUACCGCAUAUGGUCUUCGGAUUAAAGCUUCGGCGCUUUGGGAGCGGCCCGCGUACGAUUAGAUAGUUGGUGAGGUAAUGGCUCACCAAGUCGACGAUCGUUAGCUGGUCUGAGAGGAUGAUCAGCCAGACUGGGACUGAGACACGGCCCAGACUCCUACGGGAGGCAGCAGUAAGGAAUCUUCCACAAUGGGGGCAACCCUGAUGGAGCAACGCCGCGUGCAGGAUGAAGGUUUUCGGAUCGUAAACUGCUUUUAUAAGUGAAGAAUAUGACGGUAACUUAUGAAUAAAGAUCGGCUAACUACGUGCCAGCAGCCGCAGUAA
rnacentral:rRNA from 1 species